rfam:Ciona savignyi cont_24921, whole genome shotgun sequence.
GGCCGGUUAGCUCAGUUGGUUAGAGCGUCGUGCUAAUAACGCGAAUGUCGCGGGUUCGAUACCAGUACUGGCCA